rnacentral:rRNA from 1 species
UACGUAGGGGGCAAGCGUUGUCCGGAAUCAUUGGGCGUAAAGAGCGUGUAGGCGGCUUGGCAAGUCUCGCGUGAAAUCCUGCGGCUCAACCGCAGGCGGUCGCGGGAAACUGCCUCGCUAGAGUCCGGAAGAGGAGAGUGGAAUUCCUGGUGUAGCGGUGGAAUGCGCAGAUAUCAGGAAGGAACACCCGUGGCGAAGGCGGCUCUCUGGGACGGUACUGACGCUGAGGUGCGAAAGCGUGGGGAGCAAACAGG